rnacentral:tRNA from 3 species
CGGGCUGUAGCGCAGUCUGGUAGCGCACCUGCUUCGGGAGCAGGGGGUCGGAGGUUCGAAUCCUCUCAGCCCGACCA